rnacentral:tRNA from 1 species
GGCUCAAUGGUUAGAGCGUUGGACUUCUAAUCAACACGUCGCGGGUUCGAGCCUGC